CCUACGGGAGGCAGCAGUGAGGAAUAUUGGUCAAUGGGCGUAAGCCUGAACCAGCCAAGUCGCGUGAGGGAUGAAGGUUCUAUGGAUCGUAAACCUCUUUUAUAAGGGAGUAAAGUGCGGGACGUGUCCCGUUUUGUAUGUACCUUAUGAAUAAGGAUCGGCUAACUCCGUGCCAGCAGCCGCGGUAAUACGGAGGAUCCGAGCGUUAUCCGGAUUUAUUGGGUUUAAAGGGUGCGUAGGCGGCCUGUUAAGUCCGCGGGGAAAGUCGGUGGGUAAACCAUAGAAUUGCCGUUGAAACUGGUAGGCUUGAGUAUGUGUGAGGCAGGCGGAAUGCGUGGUGUAGCGGUGAAAUGCAUAGAUAUCACGCAGAACCCCGAUUGCGAAGGCAG
rnacentral:rRNA from 1 species